rnacentral:rRNA from 1 species
ACAGCAGCCGCCGCGGUAAUACGUAGGGUGCGAGCGUUAAUCGGAAUUACUGGGCGUAAAGCGUGCGCAGGCGGUUAUAUAAGACAGAUGUGAAAUCCCCGGGCUCAACCUGGGACCUGCAUUUGUGACUGUAUAGCUAGAGUACGGUAGAGGGGGAUGGAAUUCCGCGUGUAGCAGUGAAAUGCGUAGAUAUGCGGAGGAACACCGAUGGCGAAGGCAAUCCCCUGGGCCUGUACUGACGCUCAUGCACGAAAGCGUGGGGAGCAAACAGGAUUAGAGACCCCCGUAGUCCCUGUCUCUUAUAC